rnacentral:lncRNA from 1 species
UGUUACCGCGUGCAUGAUUUCAAUAAAAAUUGGUAGUUGUUUAUCUAUAUAAAAUAGAAACACAACAUAUAACAACAUUAAUAUAAAUGCAUUGUAGUAAAACAUAUACCUAUAGUAAUGGUAUAAAAUUCAUUAUAGCAGUAUUAAAUUCAUUAUAGUAAUGGUAUAAAAUUUAUUAUAGCAGUAUUAAAUUCAUUAUGGUAAAAC